AUGACGCAAUCAGAUGCGUGUUUGGGAAUCCCGGAUUGUAAUAACGCAUUUAUCAUUGACGGUCUAGCCUACUACACCUUUAAGACGUCGAAACUGUGCAAAUUGGGAGUGGGCAUAUGUUCGACUGUAAAAUCACAACACUUCGCAAUGGGAAAACUGUGAAGAGGACCGCUGCGCUGACCACUAGUUAUAGAACAGCCAGCGACAAAGAUAUUUAUCUCAUCGACACAAAAAUAUCUGCCGGUAUCCUGCAUGUUGUACUGUUGUGGAAGCAAGGACAAGGAGAAGCAGCGGCCGGACGCUGCAGAGGUGUCGAGAAUUCUAGAGACAGAGCCAGAGAAAAACCGAAAGAGCCAAGAAAGCGCACCUCAACCACUGGACAUGUGCGGAAUAGCGGCAAUGCCCGAGCUUCUACCACCGUCUGGCGUACUCCAGCCCAGCUCAGUAAUCCCACGCGAGUCGGGUGAGGUGCCUGGUUUGUGGAGUGGAUUCAACAGGGGUGUGCUGAGCUUUGACUCCCCCCAGCGGAGACGAGGCCAACGGGCCCCGAAGUUAGGGCAAAUAGGACGGUCGAAGAGAGUGGUUAUAGAGGAUGACGACUUGGAUGAUGUCAUGAACAACAAUGGCCUCCCCAUAUCAAUCAAUAUCUCUCCUGUUGCCUGAACAACUCUGAUAGUGUCCAGACCUCAAGAGGCUAUUGUGCUCAUUUGUGAAAUUCUGAAGCGUGUACCACUUGUUCUGGACAAUGCCCAGUUCAGGUGCCCAUUGCAAAGUUUACAAUAGCAGCAUGCGCAUCACCUGUAGUUUAGCUCUUCCUGGACACAGGAAGGUCAGUGUCCCAAGGGAAUAGAAAAAACAACAGUGCAUCUUUGCUUCAGCUGCUGUUCUGGUGUUGAAGGGGGGACUUUGUGUCCUGAGGGGAGGGGAGCAAUUAGGAUAGAUUUGGGUCCGGACAGGCUGAAACAUAAGCACACAAGAGAAGGCCCUACCCAUCAAGAACUGCCCCUUCAAAAUGAGUGAACCUGUUUGUUUGUUGUUUAGUCUUUAGUGUCUAUAUUUUAAACACUCCAUCCAAUAUGUUAUUUUAAUUUAUCUGUCAAUCCAACCCAUAUCUAAAUGAGAAAACAGCUACUCAUAGUACUGGUCAGUGUUUUCACAGUAUUAUUUAUUUUAGAUACUGUACACUUUUUCAGUGUUUCACAUAUUAUGUUGACAACACUUAUUUUAUUUUUGACGGUUGACAUCACUGUCUCGUUUUGGUGCAAAUUCAUUGUCUGUAAAAUCUGUUGUAAAACGUGUUCGAUACACUGAAGGCUUUAAUUUGCCAUUGUAACAUGUUAUGUCAUAAUCGUUGUCUUAGUAUAACAUAUGUUGUACUGUAUGUUACUUUUACCCCUGAGUUGCUAGACAAAAACAAUUACCACUGUGAACUAUUUAUGGAACUUCUAUGUAUCCCUGCAUCGAGGUGUAAUAUACAACUUUUUUAUAACCA